rnacentral:ncRNA from 1 species
UGCGAUGAGUCGAGAAAUCACGCUGCUUACUGGCAGUCCGCACAAGCGGCUUGGUGAAACUUUCGAACAGCGGGUACGUGUUCCCACCGCAUUGUGGGGUACCUUGGCUUAAAGGAAAUGUGGAUUUC